AUUGAACGCUGGCGGCAUGCCUUACACAUGCAAGUCGAACGGUAACGGGUCCUUCGGGAUGCCGACGAGUGGCGAACGGGUGAGUAAUAUAUCGGAACGUGCCCAGUAGUGGGGGAUAACUGCUCGAAAGAGCAGCUAAUACCGCAUACGACCUGAGGGUGAAAGGGGGGGAUCGCAAGACCUCUCGCUAUUGGAGCGGCCGAUAUCAGAUUAGCUAGUUGGUGGGGUAAAGGCCUACCAAGGCAACGAUCUGUAGUUGGUCUGAGAGGACGACCAGCCACACUGGGACUGAGACACGGCCCAGACUCCUACGGGAGGCAGCAGUGGGGAAUUUUGGACAAUGGGCGCAAGCCUGAUCCAGCAAUGCCGCGUGCAGGAUGAAGGCCUUCGGGUUGUAAACUGCUUUUGUCAGGGAAGAAAUCUUCUGGGCUAAUACCCCGGGAGGAUGACGGUACCUGAAGAAUAAGCACCGGCUAACUACGUGCCAGCCGCCGCGGUAAAAC
rnacentral:rRNA from 1 species